ACUAAUGCAGCGGAAGUGGGCCCCCUGCUCAUUCACUGAGGAGCUAGACUGACAACAGUUGGAAGCCCGCCCUGCUCACUAACUGACCAACCAGCAGUUGGAGUGCAUGCCCUGCUCUCUGACUGACAGCUGUCUGACAGAACAGUGGAAGGCUAGGUCAUGCUCAGUUACCUUAAGUCCAAGGUUGUGUCUGUCCUGACAACUGACUUGACUGACAGCAGCCUCCAGGAGUAACUAUCAGUCCCUUCCUCUAGGACCUUGCUGGGAUGGCCCAAGGUCGGUCAAAGGUUUGCAUCUGUGACCUACAUUUCAGCCUCCGCAGACACACAGACCACGUGGCCAGCCUGACCCACAAGGCUCAUUCCUGCGCAGGGACAGGGAGCGGGUGCUGCCCCAGGGGCUGAGUCAGCGUCACACCUCCCACUUCCUGCAGCCCAGACAUCUGCAUGUGAACCCAGGCAGCUCGCCCACUUACCACUUCCCCUGAGGUCCUGCCCCCUACCGUGUGCAGGGACUGAUGGGUCGGAAGACGUCAGACACUUCAAGCCAAAGGUGCGCUAUCUCCAAAACAUGUCAAGCCAGUGGUAUUGCCCCCAAACCCACAAGGCUCUCUCUGUGGGCUGACCAGCGCCCCCCACCCGGUACACAUUCCUUUCUGAAAUAAGAACAGAUUUCUUCCUCUUUU